UAAAGGAAAUAAAAAUAAAUGCUUCACAUUUAUUUUAUUGUUGUGGGGGGAUAGUGUAACCGUUUGUUACAAAGUCCUCUGAUUAUUUUUAGUAUAUGUUUAAAUGUUAUUUGUACUGUCACGUUUCUAAAUGUUAAUACAAGGGUUUAUUGUUAGUAGGGUUAGUCAAAUAAAAAUGUUUAAAAAUUGUUAGAUUAUAUGUUAAUUGUAAAACUAGGAUUAGUAGGGUUAAAUAAAUAAAAACACACAAUUGUCAAAACACUAAAACAACACAGUGGGUACAAAUGAACACCGAAGCGUAUAACAGAAAAUGUAAGGUGGCGGAAAGCUGUUCUACGGCUGAUGAAGUACGAUUGCGCGGCACACUAAUUGUUCGCGCCUGGAAGGAGGUAAAAACAACCGCCAAAUUUCAGUGAAUAGGAAGGAGAAGAGCAAUCGAACCCAGAGCAAAGGUUCAGAAUUAAUCUGGCGUUCGUGUGCUGAGGUUCAGUAGAGCAGUGAAUAGUUUGAAGAUUGUGGUAUUUUAUAGAAAUUGUGAGGUGUGAUAAUAAUUCGUUCAGGACCUUUUGGUAUAUUUAUUGAUCGCCUUGGACUGAAGGAAAAUCUUCCCAAGGUAGCACACGAUUCGGCCUAGUGAGCCCUGGAUGCUCACUACGUCUAACCCGUCAAAGACCAGCGAUUGUUCUCUGGCCUUGGGCCAUAACUGCAAAGGAGAACAUACCCCUCUCGGCACGGUCACUCCGGUAUCGUCCUGGGCCUGUCGAUCUCCGUCAAAGAGGGAAGACGCCAGUACUAGCCGUAACUUCAACCUAGAACCCACCAAUUUCGACCAACCGGAAUUCUAGGACCAUCCCAAUUCACCUAACAACAGCAUUGGUACGUACCAGGAAAACCCCACAGCACUCACAUACACUCACACUUACAGAUUGAAAAAAAUAAAUAAAAUAAAGUGAAUCCAAUAAA